UACAGAGGUCUCGAAGCGUUGUUCGGGAUUCAUUGGGCGGUUAAAGGGUGCGUAGGCGGCGCGGUAAGUCGGGUGUGAAAAUCUUGGGAGCUUAACUCCGAAACUGCAUUCGAUACUGACCGUGCUUGAGGACUGGAGAGGGAGUACGUGGAAUUUACGGUGUAGCGGUAGAAAUGCGUAGAUAUCGAUAAGGAAGACCAGUGGCGAAGGCGGGUCUGCUUGGACAGUUCCUGAGCGGCUGAAGGCACGGAAGGUCAGGGGAGCAAACGGG
rnacentral:rRNA from 1 species